AUGAAGGUGUUUACUUGUGGUAUGGGCGCU
rnacentral:piRNA from 1 species